AGCUGUGGAGACUGACAUCAGAACAAUUGUGAGCAACAACACAGCACCUGUGGCUGAGGUUUUCCAGAAGCUUUCACCUGCUAGGCAGAAUAUCCUGAGUUGGAAAGGAACCCAUGCGGGUCACUGAGAUCACCCAAAAUUCAAUCCCUAUGUCUGAGAGUAUUGUUCAAGUGCUGCUUGAACUCUCAAGCUUGGGGCUGUGACCACUGAUGAGGCGAGCGUAUUUCAGUGCCCAGUCACCCUUUGGUGAAGAACUUCAUCCUGAAACUGAACCUGACCUUCCACUGUCACAGCUCCAUGCUGUUUCUUGGGUCAUAUUGCAGUCAUUGGAGAGAAGACAUCAGUGUUCUUUGAGCAACAUCAGAAGCUGAAAGUAGUAGGGAAGGAAGCCAAAUGCCUGAGGAAAUGUGCUUUGCUUUUCCUGGAACACUGCAGUUAAGGCUGCCUGGCAACUUUAAUUUGGCCAAUUUUGUGUAUGAAGCAUCAACAGGUAUCUAAAUACUAGCAAUUUCUGCCACAAGCCCCUACUUUUGUUAUGAUACAGAAUGAACUUUCUCUGUGGCUUUGUUGAGGGAGGACAGCUGCAAGGACCUUUGCUUCAGUGGCCUGAAUACAGAUUACUUGACAUAUGUCUGCUGGAGACAUGAGGAUCUGACUCUCAGAAGUGAUGAAUUUUCAAAGCUGAGGCUGAAGUCAAUGGGAGCUCUCUUAAUUAGACUAUAUCAUAAUAUGCAUACACAGUGCUUGCUUUUGUGAUUCUGUACAUCUUGCUCGUUUUCUGAAAGCACACCAGAUGGCCUCAAUUGCAUUAUUUUGAUGUGUGGCUUUUGGUCAACCUGAACAUCCUUGUGGCUGCACCAGCUGCUCAUCCAGCUCCUGCUUGGAAAUAUGUUGUCCGUGUUAUGGCUUCACCUUGGGAGAGAUGGAGCUUUGGCUUGGCUGAAGGCUUGCAGAGGAGCUUACUUACAGCAGGGAAAGGGUGACCUGAUAUCUUGUUUCAGACCCAGACCCUGAAAGGAUAUAUUUUUCUUGUGGUCCACUGUUUGACUCCUCGUGUGGUCAUAUCAGGUGACAUGGCCAAGCUCUUGUGUGUCCUUGCCAGCCCUUUUGCUUGCUGUUGGUGUUGUCCUUGCUGACAGGCAGCUACUCUAACAUCAUGUGCUGCUGCAUGGAGGCUCCUUAGUUCAGGUCCAGCUGAUCUGCCAAUUUUGCACUGUGACUUAAAACUAUUUUCAGCCUGUAAUUACUACAAUGAAAAUACCAAAGAAAUUGAUUCCUUAUAUUCCUCACAUUAUAUUACUCUGGAUUCCUGUCCAAGUGCCAAGGGGUUAAAUAUGAUUCAUGUAAUCUACUUUCUCACUAAUCAUUUAUUCAAUUACCUAUUAGAACUUGAGCAAAAAAGACCAAAAAAGGAAAGAGGAGGCCAACCCACAGUGUAUGUUCAAUAAAAUGCUACAAUCAACAUUCAAUCAUUAAUUAUCUAAUCAACAUUCUCUAAGUAUUUUAGCCAUAAUCUCAUUACUGUAAUUAAUUGCAAGAAUCAUUUUGUAAACAGCACAAUAAAAGUAUAUGCAACAUAACAGCACCAAAAUUAAAUCUAAAUCCCAGAAUGAAUAACAGGGAAAUCUGGAAGAUAUUACUAAGAGGGUGUCAUUAAAUAAGAUCAUAUUUCAAUGUCAAAAUCUGGUGGGCUACUUGUGCUAUGGGAGUAAAUCAAUAGUGUUGCAUUGGAAAGACUGGGCCAAAUCCACUUUGGUGCAAUUAAUCACAACUCCAUUAAAACUCUGAGGGGUGGAGGAGACUUCUUAGAUAGUAAAAAAUGAAUCUUGUAGUUAGUGGGGCUGGCAAAGCUUCUCCAGUAAGCUAAGUUUUUACAUCUAAUAGUUAAGGCUGUCUAAGUGCCUAAUGGUAUAGGAGAGCUAGUCCUUUUGCUCUUAAUGGUGAAGUUGUGCUUGAUUUUUGCAUGUUGUUGAACAUCAUUGUUUUUGCAGUCCUGCUCUUCUGGUAGUGAUAGUUCUACUUUUGCUUUUUUCCGGCUGCUUCUAGAAAAAAUAAUCAAAUGGUGCGGACAGGUCCCCACAGAUACCUGCUGGACUUACAGCAAAGGUAUUUUAUGACUAUCAGGAUUCUAUAACUAAUAUUCUAGCAGCACAAUGGUACUGUCUUUGUUCUUACCAGCCAUUUGACUGCGGCAAGUAUUUUGUCAUAUUUUUCCCUCUUUUCAUUUAUUUUUUUCAUUAUUUUUUUUUUUAAGAAUCAAUGCCAGGAUUCAUUUAAAAGCUAUAACACAAUAUAUAAAAGAGCCCCAACAACCAUAGGGUUCGUUGUGCCAUUGAUUCUUUUUGAGAAGAAUUCCCUGCUGACUGCAGUAGGGAGUUGCUCAAAGAUAUUGAUAGUGCGUGUCCCUCUAUAGAGGACUUAAAUUAAAAACACAAUACCUUUUAGUCAGAAAGGUCUGUGUG